GCCGCGGUGGCGGAAUAGGCAGACGCACGGGACUCAAAAUCCCGCGAGGGCAACCUCAUGAGAGUUCGAUUCUCUCCCGCGGCACCA
rnacentral:tRNA from 1 species